rnacentral:sRNA from 1 species
GCGCAGGAUGGCGGGGGUUCGCUGUGCCGCGUGCUGCCAAUUUGGAUAGUCGUUAUACGGAAUUUAAUUAAACCGGGAGCCAUAAAUCCAUGAACCACUGGGGGGAGAUUAUAAACGCGUGUGUGUGUGUCUGUGAUAGCGCUCUGGGAAGUAAAUAAAUGACGGGCGGGAAAAGGAAGCCUUUUUUUUUUUUUUUUAAGAGAAAGCAGAAAACAUCUCAACUUCAUACUCCUCCAGUGAUUCACCGAUGCCCCGUCCCGGGUUUAAUUGAAUUCUAUGAAGUGCAGUAGCCACAUGCCAAGGAAGGAUCAAUAUUUUUUUGUCUCCUUCAUCAGAGGAAUAUGUGGCUGUGUGGUUUUAUUUAGAUGGACUGUUGGCAGGACUAUACAUCAGAGGAAGCCAAAAGCCAGCUGGAAUACUUCCUGAAUACAGUUUUAAUCUUGUUUGCAAUUAUUUCGAAGGGGAGAAAUCAUCUGGAUCAGAAUUAAGAUGCUCUGGUUUCAAGGAAAUAGCAUGCAACUUGCCAGAUCCUCCUUUGGACUCUUCUUGAGAAAUUGCUCUGCCUCUAAGACAACUCUGCCUGUGUUGACCUUAUUCACAAAGGUACAAAGUGAAAAAGUAAAAUUGUUGGGUGAAGAAAGUUGUACAUUUAAGAAAAAGGGACAAAGUUGAAAGGAAAGGCAAUGGAAUAAACUUUCUUCAGACCUGCUCUUCAAUUUUUCUAUCAGCACA